CCUACGGGCGGCUGCAGUGAGGAAUAUUGGUCAAUGGGCGCGAGCCUGAACCAGCCAAGUCGCGUGAGGGAUGAAGGUUCUAUGGAUCGUAAACCUCUUUUAUAAGGGAAUAAAGUGCGGGACGUGUCCUAUGUUGGAUGUACCUUAUGAAUAAGGACCGGUUAAUUCCGUGCCAGCAGCCGCGGUAAAACGGAGGAGCCGAGCGUUAUCCGGAUUUAUUGGGUUUAAAGGGUGCGAAGGCGGCCUUUUAAGUCAGCGGUGAAAGUCUGUGGCGCAACCAUAGAAUUGCCGUUGAAACUGGGGGUCUUGAGUGUGUUUGAGGCAGGCGGAAUGCGUGGUGUAGCGGUGAAAUGCUUAGAUAUCACGCAGAACCCCGAUUGCGAAGGCAGCCUGCCGGGCCAUAACUGACGCUGAUGCACGAAAGCGUGGGGAUCGAACAGGAUUAGAUACCCCAGUAGUC
rnacentral:rRNA from 1 species